UAAUCUCACACUUAAGAUUUUUCUUGAGAGGUGGACUUGAAGGUUGCUGUCUUUGUUGAUGGCUCCUUUUAAAAGCAUUAGUGAUGUACAUCUUGCAUUACAAACCAGUGUAAUAAGAUUCCGCUGGGUUGAAAGGCUUGAAAAAUCGCUUCUAACCGUCCAUUGAAUUGGACUGCCGCUUGCGGUAAUUGACA
rnacentral:misc_RNA from 1 species